UGGCGGACGGGUGAGUAACGCGUGAGUAACCUGCCUUUCAGAGGGGGAUAACAUCCUGAAAAGGAUGCUAAUACCGCAUAACAUAUCGAGGCCGCAUGGUCUUGGUAUCAAAGGAGCAAUCCGCUGAGAGAUGGACUCGCGUCCGAUUAGCCAGUUGGCGGGGUAACGGCCCACCAAAGCGACGAUCGGUAGCCGGACUGAGAGGUUGAACGGCCACAUUGGGACUGAGACACGGCCCAGACUCCUACGGGAGGCAGCAGUGGGGGAUAUUGCACAAUGGAGGAAACUCUGAUGCAGCAACGCCGCGUGAGGGAAGAAGGUCUUCGGAUUGUAAACCUUUGUCCUUGGUGACGAAACAAAUGACGGUAGCCAAGGAGGAAGCUCCGGCUAACUACGUGCCAGCAGCCGCGGUAAU
rnacentral:rRNA from 1 species